UUAGCAUUUGAAUACAUAGCAGCACCAGGCC
rnacentral:piRNA from 1 species